rnacentral:rRNA from 1 species
GGCGGGGGUCGCAUUG